rnacentral:misc_RNA from 1 species
ACAAACUUGGUCAUUUAGAGGAAGUAAAAGUCGUAACAAGGUUUCCGUAGGUGAACCUGCGGAAGGAUCAUUCAAGUGAAAUUGAUACCUCUCCAUCUUUGUGUUAACCAUUAGUUACCUAAACAGUGCCUGCGUUCUGUGUUUUUUCUUUUUGUGGGCUGCGUUUUCUUUCACAUUCAUACCGUUGACUAGCACUUUAAAAAAAAUUCAGAGACAAACGGUGAAAAGGAAGUAAAAUGCUACCUCUUAUUAAACGUAUUUUAUUAUAAACCCAACAAUAACAAGAAACUUUCUUGCUAAAAACUCUAUACAACUUUUAACGGUGGAUCCCUCGGCUCUCACAUCGAUGAAGAACGCAGC